rnacentral:lncRNA from 1 species
AAACGACGAUAUUUUCCUGGUUUUCCAAAUGGUUCUCCUUUAUCCUUCACAAGGCUCACAUUAGAAUCUACGGGAGUAUCAACUGGACGAGUUCCAAGAAAGCUUGUCUCAUCUAACAAGUCAAGUACAUAUUUUCCUUAAGAUAAGUUGAUACCUGCUCGAUCUCUAGCGACUUCAAUACCCAAGAAAAAUCGGAGCUUGCCUAGAUCUUUAGUUUGGAAAUGUUUUUGUAUAAGCUGUUUUAACCGAACAAUUCCAUUUGCAUUAUCACCAGUGAUUACAAUAUUGUCUACAUAAACCACAAGGAUAACAUAGCCUGCAUCGGUUUGUAGAUGAAAUACUGAAUGUUCUAUCUAACAUCUCCGAAGACCAAAUUCUAGAACGAUCUCUGAAAAAUUUUCAAACCAUUCUCCCCCCUAGCCCCCAAGGGGGUAAGCUACAGUAAAGGGCUUCCCCGUACUCCAUUUCAUAGGAUGGAAUGUGGGGAAGUUACGGCCGCCGUUCACCGGGGCUUCGGUCGUCGGCUCCCCUAUCAUCAGGUCACCAACUUCCUUAACCUUCCAGCACUAGGCAGGCGUCAGCCCCCAUACAUGGUCUUACGACUUUGCGGAGACCUGUGUUUUUGGUAAACAGUCGCCCAGGCCUGGUCACUGCGACCCCCUUUGUGAGGAGGCACUCCUUCUCCCGAAGUUACGAAGCUAUUUUGCCGAGUUCCUUAGAGAGAGUUGUCUCGCGCCCAAAACUUUUCAAACCAUUCUCUUGGUGAUUGCUUUAACCCAUAUAAAGCAUUUUUCAACUUACAAAAAUAAUUCUAGUACUCCUCCUGAGCACCAAACCUAGGUAGUGCUUCAUAUAAACUUCUUUGUGUAAGUCACCAUGAAGUAAAGCAUUUUUUAUAUCUAAUUGAAAUAAUAUCCAACCAAAGUUAACAGCAAUAAAAAUUAAAACCCAAAUAGAAGAGAUUUUAGCAAUAGG